rnacentral:rRNA from 1 species
AGGCCACUGCUAUCGGGGUUCGAUUAAGCCAUGCGAGUCGAGAGGUGCAAGACCUCGGCGCACUGCUCAGUAACACGUGGAUAACCUACCCUGUGGAGGGGGAUAACCCCGGAAAACUGGGGAUAAUACCCCAUAGAUUAGGGAUGCUGGAAUGCCCCCUAGUUCAAAGGUCCGCCGCCACAGGAUGGGUCUGCGGCCGAUUAGGUUGUUGUUGGGGUAACGGCCCAACAAGCCAUUGAUCGGUACGGGUUGUGGGAGCAAGAGCCCGGAGAUGGAUUCUGAGACACGAAUCCAGGCCCUACGGGGCGCAGCAGGCGCGAAAACUUUACAAUGCGAGAAAUCGUGAUAAGGGAACCCCGAGUGCCCGUAAAUUCGGGCUGUCCGUCAGUGUAAAUAACUGGCGAAGAAAGGGCCGGGCAAGACCGGUGCCAGCCGCCGCGGUAAUACCGGCGGCUCGAGUGGUGGCCACUAUUACUGGGCUUAAAGCGUCCGUAGCUGGGUUGUUAAGUCUCCUGGGAAAUCCACCGGCUCAACCGAUGGGCGUUCAGGGGAUACUGGCAACCUAGGGACCGGGAGAGGUGAGAGGUACUCCAGGGGUAGGAGUGAAAUCCUGUAAUCCUUGGGGGACCACCUGUGGCGAAGGCGUCUCACCAGAACGGCUCCGACAGUGAGGGACGAAAGCUGGGGGAGCAAACCGGAUUA